AUGGAAGCCAUGGAAGUAGAAAGUAGUGGUAAAAGAAGAAGGGGAUAUGGAGAAUCAUCUGUAAAAAGAGAAGGAGAAAGAGAGAGAGACCUACCAGGACAGCUGGACAAUGGCCUCCAGAAAAAGAUGAUUAUCAACCUACAUAUAUCCCCGGACAAUAUAGAUACAUGGGUACUAAAAGAAGAGAUUUUGAAAAACCAGUGCAAUUCCAAAAUUAUAAAAAUGAUGGUGCUAUAUUAA
rnacentral:rRNA from 1 species